GAUCUUGUAGCGCAAUUGGAUAGCGCGUUAGACUUCGGAUCUAAAGGUUGUGGGUUCAAGUCCCAUCAGGAUCG